rnacentral:rRNA from 1 species
CCUUGUACGUGGGGGACAACAGUUGGAAACGACUGCUAUACCGCAUAAGCGCACAGCUUCGCAUGAAGCAGUGUGAAAAACUCCGGUGGUACAAGAUGGACCCGCGUCUGAUUAGCUGGUUGGUGAGGUAACGGCCCACCAAGGCGACGAUCAGUAGCCGGCCUGAGAGGGUGAACGGCCACAUUGGGACUGAGACACGGCCCAAACUCCUACGGGAGGCAGCAUG